AGUCGCAGGUGUGCUGCUGAGGCGUGAGAAUGGCGUCCCGCGGCCGGCGUCCGGAGCAUGGCGGACCCCCAGAGCUGUUUUAUGACGAGACAGAAGCCCGGAAAUACGUUCGCAAGUGAGGGGAGCCUGAAUACUGCGGGGCGUCCGGGGGUCGGGAAGCGGCAAGUUGCCCCUGUUGCUGGCGUUGCCCGGAAAGGCCGUAGAAUUUGGGGGUGCGGGAAGGGAAGGACCCGGGUGGGUGCCGAUUUCUGUCUCUGGUAAAUCAACUUUAAGUUGCCGACCUCUCUGGGCCUCGGUACCUCAGCGUUGAGCUCACGGAUGAUUGAUAUCCAGACCAGGAUGGCUGGGCGAGCAUUGGAGCUUCUUUAUCUGCCAGAGAAUAAGCCCUGUUACCUGCUGGAUAUUGGCUGUGGCACUGGGCUGAGUGGAAGUUAUCUGUCAGAUGAAGGGCACUAUUGGGUGGGCCUGGAUAUCAGCCCUGCCAUGCUGGAUGAGGCUGUGGACCGAGAGAUAGAGGGAGACCUGCUGCUGGGGGAUAUGGGCCAGGGCAUCCCAUUCAAGCCAGGCACAUUUGAUGGUUGCAUCAGCAUUUCUGCUGUGCAGUGGCUCUGUAAUGCUAACAAGAAGUCUGAAAACCCUGCCAAGCGCCUGUACUGCUUUUUUGCUUCUCUUUUUUCUGUUCUCGUCCGGGGAUCCCGAGCUGUCCUGCAGCUGUACCCUGAGAACUCAGAGCAGUUGGAGCUGAUCACAACCCAGGCCACAAAGGCAGGCUUCUCCGGUGGCAUGGUGGUAGACUACCCUAACAGUGCCAAAGCAAAGAAAUUCUACCUCUGCUUGUUUUCUGGGCCUUCGACCUUUAUACCAGAGGGGCUGAGUGAAAAUCAGGAUGAAGUUGAACCCAGGGAGUCUGUGUUCACCAAUGAGAGGUUCCCAUUAAGGAUGUCGAGGCGGGGAAUGGUGAGGAAGAGUCGGGCAUGGGUGCUGGAGAAGAAGGAGCGGCACAGGCGCCAGGGCAGGGAAGUCAGACCUGACACCCAGUACACCGGCCGCAAGCGCAAGCCCCGCUUCUAAGUCACCACGCGGUUCUGGAAAGGCACUUGCCUCUGCACUUUUCUAUAUUGUUCAGCUGACAAAGUAGUAUUUUAGAAAAGUUCUAAAGUUAUAAAAAUGUUUUCUGCAGUAAAAAAAAAGUUCUCUGGGCCGGGCGUGGUGGCUCACACCUGUAAUCCCAGCACCUUGGGAGGCUGAGGUGGGAGGAUCAUUUGAGGCCAGGAGUUUGAGACCUGCCUGGGCAACAUAAUGAAACUUCCUUUCCAGGGAGGAAAAAAAAAAAAAAAAAAAGCUCUGAGAGCAUCUUAUUUUGUUUAAAGGCAAGAAAUAAAAUUUCCUUUUGUGGA